CCCAUUUUAGCACCUUUUUGCUUUGUCAGAUUCAAUUUCCAAACUGGAUUUUUGGUACUGAAAUUCUGCCGAGCUGAACAGACAUAUGGCUGAAAUUCGGGUGUCCUGAAAAAAAAGCAUCAGAUAAAAAGGGAUAUUAUACCAGGUGGGCCAAAAUUUAUAGUAAGGUUUGAGGAGUCAAUAACCUUUUUCUUAAAUAACUAAUUUCAGUUAUAUUACAUUCAAUGAAUGCUUAAAGGGACACUAUAGUCGCCAGAACAACUACAGCUUAAUGUAGCUGUUCUGGUGAGUAAUCAUUAUAUGCAGGCAUUUUCAGAGAAAAGGCAGUGUUUACAUUGCCACUAGGGACACCUCCAAGUGGCCACAAACAGUAGGCAGUUCUGCCGUUCAGCGUCCGCUGAAUUUUCCUCAUAGAGAUGCAUUGUAUUCAAUUCAUCUCUAUAAGGAGGUUCUGAUUGGCCAAAACGGUGUUUGCCCCGACCCCUUGCCGAUUUUAGCCAAUCCAAUGUUUUCCCCAUGGGGGCAGGGCCAGUGUCGGCAGACCUGCCCGACGCUGGAAAUAAGGUAUUUAAUGCUUUUAAAGGAGGUAAGGAGCAGGAGGGGUAAGCCACGUUAAUGGUGGGUUUUGCACUAUAAGGACACUCAAUGAAUCUCUGAGGAAAGUUCAGUGUCUGCAUGCAGAGGGAGAAGAUACUGAAUCACAGAAUGCUGUGCACAGUGCCGCCCUGUGCUCUGCUGACAGCAGAUCUGAGGGAUGGAGGCAUAUUAUAUUAGUCCCUCUAGUUC